GGAAUGAGAGUGGGGAGAGGAGGGGAGAAGAGAGUGACAAGGGGGAGAAGAGAGUGACAAGGGAGUGGGGAAGAAGAGAGUGACAUGGGAGGGGGGGAGAAGAGAGUGACAUGGGAGGGGGGAGAAGAGAGUGACAAGGGAGGGAGAGGGGGGAGAAGAGAGUGACAAGGGAGGGUGGAGAGAUUGACAUCCAUCACACACACACACACACACAAUGCACCCCUUGCACACAGAAAAACACACAAUGCAUUACACACACACACAAGCAAUGCAACCCUUACACACACUGCAUCCCGUACAUACACAGAAACACACCUUGCAGCCCUUACACAUACAAACACAGAUUCACACAAUGCACAUCAGGACAUCCCCUACGCUCUCCACC